CAUAGCUUCCCCGGGAAAGCCUUGACGGCGCGGGAUGGGGUCGCGGCCCAUUAGGUAGACGGCGGGGUAACGGCCCACCGUGCCCGCGAUGGGUAGCCGGACUGAGAGGUCGACCGGCCACAUUGGGACUGAGAUACGGCCCAGACUCCUACGGGAGGCAGCAGUGGGGAAUUUUGCGCAAUGGGGGAAACCCUGACGCAGCAACGCCGCGUGCGGGACGAAGGCCUUCGGGUUGUAAACCGCUUUCAGCAGGGAAGACAUAGACGGUACCUGCAGAAGAAGCUCCGGCUAACUACGUGCCAGCAGCCGCGGUAAUACGUAGGGGGCGAGCGUUAUCCGGAUUCAUUGGGCGUAAAGCGCGCGUAGGCGGCCGCCUAAGCGGAACCUCUAAUCCCGGGGCUCAACCUCGGGCCGGGUUCCGGACUGGGCGGCUCGAGUGCGGUAGAGGCAGGCGGAAUUCCCGGUGUAGCGGUGGAAUGCGCAGAUAUCGGGAAGAACACCGAUGGCGAAGGCAGCCUGCUGGGCCGCCACUGACGCUGAGGCGCGAAAGCUGGGGGAGCGAACAGGAUUAGAUACCCUGGUAGUCCCAGCCGUAAAC
rnacentral:rRNA from 1 species